UUUUGUUUUGUUCUUGUUUUCUAUGCAAAAAUGUCAAAACUUGCUAGGCUUUAGGAAAACAUCUUUGCAGCUUGUCCCCAUGCUUGAGAAUGGUGGGGGGGGGGGGGCGCCCUGCCCUGGCUUGGAAUACAUUAGAGCCUUCCUACUGAGAUACAGAAGGCGGGGAUGUCAAGAGGUAGGUCUGCCAAGUGCUAGCUACUUUUCUGUGGUCAGUCCACAGCUUAGCCUACGUGUGACAGAUGUGUCAUGUGUCUGCACACAUGCCUCCUGCUGCUGUGGUCCCUCAGCAUGUAAUCAGUCAUGGGACUGCUGGUCCUACACUGGCUGUGGGCAAUGGGAAAGUAGCUCCUCUACUGCAGCUCUAAGCCUGUCAGAGGAGUGCCUCCUGCUCCCAUAAGUUAGAGCUUUUCAUGUAAAAUACCUUUUUCAAAGAUUUAUUAUGUAUGCAGCAUUCUGCCUGCAUAUAUGCCUGUAUACCAGAAGAGGGCGCCCGAUCUCAUUACAGAUGGUUUUGAGCCACCGUGUGAUUGCUGGGAAUUGAACUGAAGACCUCUGAAGAGCAGCCAGGGCUCUUAACCUGUGAGCCAUCUCUCCGGCCUAGAAGAAGAAUUUUUAAUGAACACAUCUGUAGCUCUCUAGUUUGAUGUUUUCCUAGGAUGGGGAUCUCAUUAGGUUGCCUAGGCUGCUGUAAACAA
rnacentral:lncRNA from 1 species